GGUUAAGCGACUAAGCGUACACGGUGGAUGCCUAGGCAAUCAGAGGCGAUGAAGGACGUGCUAAUCUGCGAUAAGCGUCGGUAAGGUGAUAUGAACCGUUACAACCGACGAUUUCCGAAUGGGGAAACCCAGUGCAAUUCGUUGCACUAUCGUUUGAUGAAUACAUAGUCAAACGANGCGAACCGAGGGAACUGAAACAUCUCAGUACCUCGAGGAAAAGAAAUCAACCGAGAUUCCCCUAGUAGCGGCGAGCGAACGGGGAGCAGCCCAGAGUCUUAAUCAGCAUUAGCAUCAGGAGAACGGUCUGGAAAGGCCGGCAGUAAAGGGUGAUAGCCCCGUAUCCGAAGGUGUUAGUGUUGUGAACUCGACGAGUAGGGCGGGACACGUGUUAUCCUGUCUGAAUAUGGGGGGACCAUCCUCCAAGGCUAAAUACUCCUGAUUGACCGAUAGUGAACCAGUACCGUGAGGGAAAGGCGAAAAGAACCCCGGCGAGGGGAGUGAAAUAGAACCUGAAACCGUGUACGUACAAGCAGUGGGAGCACCNUUGUGGUGUGACUGCGUACCUUUUGUAUAAUGGGUCAGCGACUUAUAUUCUGUAGCAAGGUUAACCGUAUAGGGGAGCCGUAGGGAAACCGAGUCUUAACUGGGCGAAUGAGUUGCAGGGUAUAGACCCGAAACCCGGUGAUCUAGCCAUGGGCAGGUUGAAGGUUGGGUAACACUAACUGGAGGACCGAACCGACUAAUGUUGAAAAAUUAGCGGAUGACUUGUGGCUGGGGGUGAAAGGCCAAUCAAACCGGGAGAUAGCUGGUUCUCCCCGAAAGCUAUUUAGGUAGCGCCUCGUGAACUCAUCUUCGGGGGUAGAGCACUGUUUCGACUAGGGGGUCAUCCCGACUUACCAACUCGAUGCAAACUACGAAUACCGAAGAAUGUUAUCACGGGAGACACACGGCGGGUGCUAACGUUCGUCGUGAAGAGGGAAACAACCCAGACCGCCAGCUAAGGUCCCAAAGUCAUAGUUAAGUGGGAAACGAAGUGGGAAGGCUCAGACAGCCAGGAUGUUGGCUUAGAAGCAGCCAUCAUUUAAAGAAAGCGUAAUAGCUCACUGGUCGAGUCGGCCUGCGCGGAAGAUGUAACGGGGCUAAACUAUGCACCGAAGCUGCGGCAGCGAUAUGUAAAUAUUGUUGGGUAGGGGAGCGUUCUGUAAGCCUGUGAAGGUGUNCUGUGAGGNAUGCUGGAGGUAUCAGAAGUGCGAAUGCUGACAUAAGUAACGAUAAUGCGGGUGAAAAACCCGCACGCCGGAAGACCAAGGGUUCCUGUCCAACGUUAAUCGGGGCAGGGUGAGUCGACCCCUAAGGCGAGGCAGAAAUGCGUAGUCGAUGGGCAACGGGUUAAUAUUCCCGUACUGGUGAUAAUUGCGAUGGGGGGACGGAGAAGGUUAGGCUGGCCGGGCGACGGUUGUCCCGGUUUAAGGAUGUAGGCAGGUGAAUUAGGCAAAUCCGGUUCACUAUAUGCUGAGGUCUGAUGACGAGUCACUACGGUGGCGAAGUAGCUGAUACCCUGCUUCCAGGAAAAGCCUCUAAGCUCUAGAUUAUCAUUAAUCGUACCCCAAACCGACACAGGUGGUCAGGUAGAGAAUACUCAGGCGCUUGAGAGAACUCGGGUGAAGGAACUAGGCAAAAUGGUGCCGUAACUUCGGGAGAAGGCACGCUGGCAUUAGGUGAAGUCCCUUGCGGAUGGAGCUCAAGCCAGUCGCAGAUACCAGCUGGCUGCAACUGUUUAUUAAAAACACAGCACUGUGCAAACACGAAAGUGGACGUAUACGGUGUGACGCCUGCCCGGUGCUGGAAGGUUAAUUGAUGGGGUUAUCCGUAAGGAGAAGCUCUUGAUCGAAGCCCCAGUAAACGGCGGCCGUAACUAUAACGGUCCUAAGGUAGCGAAAUUCCUUGUCGGGUAAGUUCCGACCUGCACGAAUGGCGUAAUGAUGGCCAGGCUGUCUCCACCCGAGACUCAGUGAAAUUGAACUCGCUGUGAAGAUGCAGUGUACCCGCGGCAAGACGGAAAGACCCCGUGAACCUUUACUAUAGCUUGACACUGAACAUUGAGCCUUGAUGUGUAGGAUAGGUGGGAGGCUUUGAAGCGUGGACGCCAGUCUGCGUGGAGCCAACCUUGAAAUACCACCCUUUAAUGUUUGAUGUUCUAACGUUGCCCCAUUAUCUGGGGUGCGGACAGUGUCUGGUGGGUAGUUUGACUGGGGCGGUCUCCUCCCAAAGAGUAACGGAGGAGCACGAAGGUUGGCUAAGCAUGGUCGGACAUCAUGCGGUUAGUGCAAAGGCAUAAGCCAGCUUGACUGCGAGAGUGACGGCUCGAGCAGGUACGAAAGUAGGUCUUAGUGAUCCGGUGGUUCUGAAUGGAAGGGCCAUCGCUCAACGGAUAAAAGGUACUCCGGGGAUAACAGGCUGAUACCGCCCAAGAGUUCAUAUCGACGGCGGUGUUUGGCACCUCGAUGUCGGCUCAUCACAUCCUGGGGCUGAAGUAGGUCCCAAGGGUACGGCUGUUCGCCGUUUAAAGUGGUACGCGAGCUGGGUUUAGAACGUCGUGAGACAGUUCGGUCCCUAUCUGCCGUGGGCGUUGGAAGAUUGAAAGGGGCUGCUCCUAGUACGAGAGGACCGGAGUGGACGCACCACUGGUGUUCGGGUUGUCAUGCCAAUGGCAUUGCCCGGUAGCUAAGUGCGGAAAAGAUAACCGCUGAAAGCAUCUAAGNGGGAAACUUGCCUUGAGAUGAGUCUUCCCUGACUCUUUAAGGGUCCUAAAGGAACGUUUAAGACUAAGACGUUGAUAGGUUGGNUGUGUAAGCGUAGCGAUACGUUGAGCUAACCAAUACUAAUGAACCGUGAGGCUUAACCU
rnacentral:rRNA from 1 species